rnacentral:tRNA from 1 species
AAAGAUUUAGUUUAAUUCAAAACAUUAGAUUGUAAAUCUAAAGAUUUUUAAUCUUUG